UUCGAAGCUUCGGAAGCGUACAAACAUAUGAAAUCAUCGAGCGAAAAGUCGCCAAGCUCGCUGUCUUAACGAUCAUCUUCUUCUUAUUGUGACGCCAAAUUUGAAGUCCUUUGCCUAAUUAUAUUUCUAGCAGCAGUUCAUAAAUGGCUUGUGACAUUUGAUUGUAGUAGUGAACGUACAUGUUUCACUGUUACCGGACUCAAUGUUCUCGCUACCGCGCAGGUCCCAAGUUAAGUGAAUAACCCUGUACUACUAGAACAUAUAUACUACUAUGCUAACUAUCAAUAGUCCUGUCCUCAUGUUAUUAUCCCAACUAAUUCUCCAUACAUAGCAGCUUGUUUUUAAAAUGAAAACGAUCCAUAUAUCGAUUCAUUUCUCAUUUCCUACGCAUGUGUAUGUUUGGAUUGAUUCUUAAUUACGCGGCUGUUCCGGGUUGGCCGUAAUUCAAUAUGCCCCUCUGCGACCUCAACCUACAUAUCUAUCCCAAACUCAAUCCACUCGAAGAUCUGUGAUUGGACUCGAACGUGUGCCGACUACAUUGACACUGGCACGCCAUAAUUAUAAAUUUGUAAUAAAACUUGGCUAUCAUUCAGCACGCCCAACAAAAAGGCUGAGCGAACAUCUGAAUGGCCUUUCACCGAAAAUUCUUUCUUUCUCUCGAUGACUUUUAAUGAUAAAUAGACAAUACGUAACUAGACGUAAGAAUUUUGUUGACCAGGCGCAUUAAUGGUAGAGCACCAACACAAAAGCCAUUAGUAUAUGCUAUUAUUACCAUUGGAUUACUCAAAUAUGAUCUAUUUUGAGAAUGCCACAAUUUCAGACGCAACGAUGCACCCAACCACUCGCACGAAGAUGUGUACGAAAUAUAACUUUGUAGUAUAGUGCAAAUUAAAUUGCAAAUAAGAAUACAACUUGACAUCCGAAGUGACAAUGAGAAAAACAUGCAUACGCAAUCUUUCUUUCUUUGAAAAGGAAGAAAAAGAAAAAAUUCACAAUAAAUAUGUACUUAGUUAUUAGUUAAUCUUAUUAUCCAAAAAUCUAAAAAUCAUUAUUAUUAAGAAAGGAAGAUGGAACAUAUCAAGGAACGUAUAAAAAUGUCGAAUACACUGACAAAACAAUCCCCUAUCUAUCAAAAAAGAAAAAGGGAUGUAUUUGAUGCGUAGAGACGCGCGCACGUCGCAUCCAAUUUCAAACAGUAAUCAAUUCCACCAGUGACGAAGUUCGUGUUUUUCCAUAACAUUUAUCACGACUGUACCAUGCAAAUCGGGCACGUAACUACCGCAACAAUCGCGAUAAUAUAUGUAUAUUACACAGCGCACGUAACACGCGCAGCGGACACGCGGAAAGCACGUGGCGAAUAUCUUGUGAAUGACUGCGCGCGCGUCUACUUAUGUUGUCACUACGGUUUUUAUCGUAAGCCACCUAAAAGAUGAUUGACUCUUAUCGUUAUUUGAGGAUUUCUAGUCGACGAAUAUAUUCAGUCUCGUCGAAGAAUAAGUGCAAUUAACAAAUGUUAAAAAUACCAGGUGAUUUUGAAGAUCAAAGAUACUCUUGAACAGAUAUCAUUAUCAGAUGAAUAAUAUCACGUAACAACGUAGAAAAAGAAUCGUGAAGAAAGAAGGAAUACCUGUAGAUAAGAAUGUUUAACAAGCGCAACAUGAUCGUUUUUCAUAUAACGUACUAUACGUGAUUCGAAAAACUUCCAUGGAAUUUUUGCUUCCCGCCAUAACGAUUACGCUAUCGUUCGUGUAAUUCGUUUUUUUCGUCGUUUCUGCCUUUUGUUUCAUGUUUACUCAGAAUCUUUGUAAGGAGGAUUGUAUAGCUAAUUUACAGAGAUAAAUCUUAAUUUCUUUUUACUUUUUUAAAUUGUGAUAACACGAGAAUUGGCAUUUUGGACGUUGACGUUGAAAUAUUCAUCGUAAUGUAUAAUGAUAUGCCUGUCCAAUUUGACUUCUGUGCAACGAUGACACAUCCUACUCAUGCUAUUAUGUCCGUCGACCUAUCCAUUACGAACGUUGUUUGUAUUUAGUUCUACGGGUCCAGUUACACGACUAAACGACACACUUAAAUAUUAUUUACGGCAUAUUGAAUAUGAUCAACAUCCAUCUUUACGGGAAGUAAUGAAUAAUUUUUGCGAUUUUUGUUAACAAUGAAAUUUCGUUUCAGUUUUAUAUUCCCGAUAAUGGGAUUUCAUGCUCUUAUAUAUUGCAUCAUCAGGAAUAUAAAGUUAAAAUUGGAACGCACUGUGUCUGGUACAUUACAACAAUGCGUAUCUAUAUUCAAUACAGUCUAUUGAUCUUAAAGUCAAAUGCGGUGCAAAAUUGCGUCGUUUGUCUGCAACCGUUUGUCAGCAAACUGCCGGUGUUUAUGCAAAUUCAUAUCCUCCAAAGCACAGUUAAAAAAAUGGAACCUAAUAGAAAUACAUUUCAUCCCAAAAAUAUUAUAACGAGUACUUGACAUGUUUUAUAUAUCGUUGCAUAUUAUAAACAUUUUAUUAAUAUAUUUUUGUACAUUUGUAUUUCCCACAAAUGCAUAAACAUCUGCAGUUCAUUCAACAGAAAUAGUUUAACAAAUGAAUCGUAUAGUAAUAAAUUGAUCGUGCAAAAUGAAGAGGAAAGCGUAUGAUUAUGUUCCAUCGCUCUUUUUGUUGUCAAGUCUACAAUUUUUACUGUUUGUUUACAGUUGACAGUCUCUUAAUCUCGACUCUGAACAAUCUCAACCGAGUCGAUAACGGUGUACAUAUUCAUUCCCACAUAAAACCACCACAGUGAAGAAACAGUGAAGAGAAACGACAAAAAUUCGCACAAUAUUCCUAUAUUUUGCAAUGGAUUAUUUCUUUUCUAUAUUUUACGAAUGUGGUUAGAUUAGAUGCCUGAAAAGAAGUUUAUUUUCCUAAGAGGGUGAAACGACUGGGUGGAGAACGACUACUAUUAUCUCCUUGAUUAAUUAUUUCAAUUACUGGCAGUCACGCACGCUUGUCUAUUUUUUGCCUGUUGUUUAUUAACAAAUCAGACCGUGAUUCAUGCAAAUAACCAGAUAAGAUACUCGACUUAUGUCACUGAAACAAGAUAACGGUUGUCUUUGCAGACUGUCAUGUGUUUUGAAAUAUACAAAGACACAACAAACACCUUCUAUGUAGUCAAUUUCGUACCGUGAAACAGGGGUAUGUUCGUGCGAAUCGGCAUAUGAAAACAAAGAUGACGAUUUAUAAUGUUUGAAACCGUAAAUCACGAAAGCUAUUAAAUUGUCGCGAAAUGAUUUUUCGAUGGUAGAUAGGACGGAAUUGAAACGCGAAAGCAGCUCUAUUUUGUAGUACAUUUUUAUUUAUAUGUACUACAUAUAUCGUAUUUAAUAUAACGAAAAACGAUAGUUAGCGCGAUUUAAUAAUAGACGAAACAUUAUAAAACUAUUGCGAAGAAGAAAGAGGCAAUUGCUUCAAUAUUCAAUGGGAAAGCUUGUUCAAAUAUCCAAAAACUGAAGUUGAAUCCAUAUAAUGAAAUACACUUCGAUUUAUGAAUUUUAUUCCAUUAUUCUGCAUCAUUUCGAAUGAAAUUAACCAAUUUUGCUUCAUCAUUCUGAAUGUUUGUAAAAUCUCUUUCAAGUGUUUGUCACCGAGUUAAUAAAAAAUUUAUCUUGUUGACUACAUAUGUACACUGGUCGCCCAAUUUACGCGGCAUUUUUUUUACGGGGUAAGUCAUAACACAAUUUACGCGAUAAUUUUUAUGCGGUCAAUCGUAUCAGUGGUGUAUGAGAUAAGGACAAAAAUACAUUACGUUUUGCUAGUCAUCAUAUGUGUACAUAUUUUUUCUUUAAAAACGAAUAAAACGAAUCCACGCGGGUGUAUAUAUAUGCUCCGAAGAUGACAUUUAUAGAUUCCGAAAAAAUGUCGGUAUUUUUUACGUUGUAUCGAAGAAAGCAAAGGAAUUGGCGAAGGUUAUUGCAUAUACAUGCGACAUAUUUUUAUAAUCACAGGUUUCCGUCGUCACGAAGUCGGAGCAAAUUCGAAAACUAUUGAAAACAAAGUAAUUCAACGAAUGGGGAAAAUACAUCGACCCGGAGAAUAAAAAAGUUCCGCAGGACGUGUUCUUACGAAAAAUUUCGUCAGCGGUUUUGCCCUAUAUAGAAGCGAGCUUUCCGACGUAGAUCACUGCGCGUGAUGUGUAAUCGUAUACUAUUUUUUCUCCGACCAUAAAUAAACGCUGCAACCGAGAGCAACAUGCAUCGAUUACUAAUUGUAAGUCACAAUUGGUAAUUUUACUUAAGAGAAGUUCAUAAAACAUCCGACGACGUUAUAAAAAGAAACAUGUUACAUAAAAAAUGAUCUGACGCUGUGGGAAAUUAUAACUAAUCAGAUGAUGAAUGGGAAUCUAUACGAUUGAAUACAUUAGUAUUUUUAGCCCUUUGUAGUCGAUUAUAAUAUAUAUUUAAAACAUAUUCUCUUGCGUUAUAAUUUAACUUGAUAAAAAUAUUUCAACGUAGGGAUACUAUUAAUUGAAAUAUGAACAUUAAAAUUAAACAGUUUCUGAUGACUUAUCGAGUGUACCAGUUGGAAUAGAAUGUCACACUCUACUGAAACUGCGAAGGGCUGACUUGUGACGAUGUAAUCUACUAACCUACAUACAGUAUUGGGACAUGCUCCGACAGCGAAGAACUUAAUAGUAAUGGUCUAAUCUACUGAUGUCUAUGCACAAGCACUUAUCUGAGCAAACGUUUGGAAUUAUUUCUGUAAUAUUGUCAUAUUUUUGAAAAUAUGAUGUGCAAUAAAUAUUAUAUUAUAUUACUUUUAA